AGUGAACGCUGGCGGUAGGCCUAACACAUGCAAGUCGAACGGCAGCACAGUAAGAGCUUGCUCUUACGGGUGGCGAGUGGCGGACGGGUGAGGAAUACAUCGGAAUCUACUUUUUCGUGGGGGAUAACGUAGGGAAACUUACGCUAAUACCGCAUACGACCUACGGGUGAAAGCAGGGGAUCUUCGGACCUUGCGCGAUUGAAUGAGCCGAUGUCGGAUUAGCUAGUUGGCGGGGUAAAGGCCCACCAAGGCGACGAUCCGUAGCUGGUAUGAGAGGAUGAUCAGCCACACUGGAACUGAGACACGGUCCAGACUCCGACGGGAGGCAGCAGUGGGGAAUAUUGGACGAUGGGCGCAAGCCUGAUCCAGCCAUACCGCGUGGGUGAAGAAGGCCUUCGGGUGGUAAAGCGCUUUUGUUGGGAGAGAAAAGCAGCAGGUUAAUACCCCGCUGUUCUGACGGUACCCAAAGAAUAAGCACCGGCUAACUUCGUG
rnacentral:rRNA from 1 species